UCAAAUUUGAAAUCUGGCACCUUCGGUGUCCGAGUUGUAAUUUGAAGAAGGUAACUUUGGAGUUGGCUCUUGUCUAUGUUCCUUGGAACAGGACGUCACAGAGGGUGAGAAUCCCGUGCGAUGAGAUGUCCAACUCUAUGUAAAGUGCUUUCGAAGAGUCGAGUUGUUUGGGAAUGCAGCUCUAAGUGGGUGGUAAAUUCCAUCUAAAGCUAAAUAUUGGCGAGAGACCGAUAGCGAACAAGUACAGUGAUGGAAAGAUGAAAAGAACUUUGAAAAGAGAGUGAAAAAGUACGUGAAAUUGUUGAAAGGGAAGGGUUUGAGAUCAGACUUGGUAUUUUGUAUGUCUUGCUUUCGGGUGGGGCCUCUGCAGUUUACUGGGCCAGCAUCGGUUUGGACGGUAGGAUAAUGACAUUGGAAUGUGGCACUACUUCGGUGGUGUGUUAUAGACUUUGUUGAUACUGCCUGUCUAGACCGAGGACUGCGUCUUUGACUAGGAUGCUGGCAUAAUGAUCCUAAACCGC
rnacentral:rRNA from 1 species